rnacentral:rRNA from 1 species
UACAGAGGGUGCGAGCGUUGUUCGGAAUUAUUGGGCGUAAAGAGCUCGUAGGCGGUCUGUCGCGUCGGAUGUGAAAACCCAGGGCUCAACCCUGGGCCUGCAUUCGAUACGGGCAGACUAGAGUUCGGUAGGGGAGACUGGAAUUCCUGGUGUAGCGGUGAAAUGCGCAGAUAUCAGGAGGAACACCGGUGGCGAAGGCGGGUCUCUGGGACGGUACUGACGCUAAGGCGCGAAAGCGUGGGGAGCGAACAGG